rnacentral:piRNA from 1 species
UGAUGCUGGCCUUGGUGAUGAUGGCAUC